rfam:Gossypium arboreum cultivar AKA8401 contig_10326_7, whole genome shotgun sequence.
UUUUCAAAAUUUCAUCUAUUUUUACUCUUAAAAUCUAGUGUAGUUAACGAAAUAACUUAAUAAUUACACAUGAUGCGCAUGUAUAUCUUAUGUUGACAUAAGUAGACCAAUUUUUAACAAUAAAAAUAAAUGAAAUGUUUAGUA